AGCCAAAGGGAAGCAUCUCUACUUAGAAUUUGCCUCCUUUGGGAAUUUUUUAGUGAGAUGUUAUCCUCAGAAUGGGGUAAGAUUAGGUCAGAUAGAGAGCAGAACGAUGUCAAAGGCUGCACUGAAGACUAAGUCCUAGCAGGAAUGAACUAAGAGAGUACAUGAAGUGCUGAGUGACCUGAAUGAAAGACACAGAUGGCUGACCCAAUAGCGCAUAUGUUGCAAACAAUUUGGACUUCCCUGCUUAAGGCUCAAAUUAAGGGAAGUAGUAUAUGACUAAGUCCCAAGUUGGAACGAUGAAUAAUCUACUCCCUGCCCCUGAGAAUCUAGAACCAGGAACCCACAAGGUAAAAUGGUCUUGAAAAAAGCCCAAGUGGGGGCAAAAUGGUGCAGCCUACUUGCACCAUAGAGGCAAUUAUUAGUAGGGGGAGGAAUGGUCAUACCACAAGGAAUUUGCAUGUGGUCCUCAGAAAUUGUGAAACACAGAUUCUCAUCACAAAGGUGACCCUAAUUAUAUCAUUUUGGCAGAUCAGAGCCCCCUCCAUCCCCUAUUUAGUACUUGGUAUAAUUAUCCAACUGUCAAUUAAUGCCAAAGAGCGUGGUAUAAAAGGCUUGGAUGUGCCCCUGUCCAAAUGGAAAUCUUGAUACACAACAGGAAAAUGGCAUAUAUUUCACUGUGGAGGGUGGAUCUGCCUAUUUUAGUGUCAAACACCUGUUCUACUCCCCCUGAGAUUCUCAGCCUGUCAGAAUGACCAAAGGAGACAGAAGCAGCAUUGGGUUUCAGUGCCACUGAAGAAUUAUCAAGACAUCUUGUUCAUCAAUGACUCUUAAUGACAGAUUUCUGAAUUUUUGAAGGAAGCUGUACAGGACAUUGAAAACUAGGGACUCUGUGUUGUGAUGAAAACUGCAUCAACGUUGUGACUACAAUUAUGAACCAGACUGUAAAGGAAAGCUGGUCCUCUCUAUGCUCAGUCAAUUGUCCAAGCUGCGAAGGGGUGGAGUAUAAGGGAAUUAAUGGUUGUGGCCUGAACACCUGCUUCUGAUGGAGUACCUGAUGAAGGGGAGUGGGUAGCCUUGGGAGCACAGGUGCAAGCAAUUGCCUGUGCAAUCCCUAACCUUAUUUAAGGGUUCUCAGCCAAGGGAGGAGCAUUUCUACUUGAUGACUGUUUCCUUUGGAAGUUUUUCAAUGAGCUCUUCUCCUCAGAAAUGGAUGUGAAGUUGAAAAGACCACCAAGAUCAUCUAGUCCAGCUGUGAUGACAAACCUAGUUGAAAAAAGUAUGCUUUUAAAAAAUUUCUGGCUUAAGAUGUUGUGUGACUGCUUUGAAUGGGCAAGGAUCCCAUCCAGUAAGAGCAGUAGCCAUUGGCAUUUUGUGGGGGUUUAAGAGCCAGGAUUGUAUUUGCUUAAUAUCUUGGUUGCAUUGCUAGUAGCUGCCACUGGAGCUGAGAGGAGCUGUUGAGCUUUCUUGAGUCCUCUCCAGAGCAAGCUGCAGACACCCUGCUCUUCCCAGCUCCUUUUUUCUGGGCAGGCCCUUUGGCAGCAGCACCUCCAGGUCUGUCUCACUCCUGGCACUGCCUUCUCUCUUCUCAGCCAGACCAGUCCCAGUAAACAGAAAGUCAGGGAAUGUGUGGUGAGGACUGGCUACCAAGCAAAGUGGGUUAUUACAAGCUCUGUUGCAGAAGUAAGCUCUGGAGGGAGGGAAGUGCUCCAGAAAGGAAUACAGGGAUGUGAAUAGUGGCCCCUCUUCAGGUGAGAGCUCAUGGGAGGGCCUUUGAUAUUCAUGAAAUCCUGGAUUGAAGAAACCAGUCUAGAAAACUGCUUAAGAUAGGCUUGUAGGGAUGAGCGUAAAGACACUGAGGAUCUGGAGGGGCUUGUGCACUACAGAGCCUGAAGCUGAUAAGCAGAGCUUUGAACAGAGAAAGGGGAAAGCUGUAACUGAGAUGAAAGAGGCAUUUUUAAAUAAAAGAAAACAACUUGUCAUGUAACCAGACAGUUAAGGGAGUGAAAUACUUGCCUCUGAUAGAGUUUUUCUUAGUUCAGAGAUAGGAGAAGCCUAUGUCAGCAGCGAGCAUUGAACAAACGGAAUGAGGAACAGGCAAAGCAUCAAUCAUCUUUAUUAAAUGAUACUGAAUGUCCACAGUCCUUAACUAGACCCAGCUAUACUUGCUACUAGGUUAACACAAACACUAAUCUACCAUCAUUUGAGCAUAAUAUGUUAAUAGGGCAGCUUUUCCUUCCCUGAUGGGAAGUCUGACAGAAAUAGGCAGGUGCAUGGGUACCAGAGGAGAGGCUCCCACUGACUUAUCAGAGCAGCAGGAAAGCCAGAAAGACCUCAUCACACAUGCCACUUAUUUUGCUGGAUGUUGCUUACUUCUGGCUGCACAAAGUGCAACAAGAGAAAUGGAGCCCCAGGAAUGGGGAGUGGAUGUGUUUGUUUCUCCUUAACUGUGUGCAUGUCUUCAUUUGCUCAACACUUAAAUCAGUUACAAGACACUUGUUGACUGGCAAUAAAUAUUUCUCAGCUGAUAGCUAGGUCACCUGCUGCAGAAAGAUGUGAGAUGAUUCUAAGAAGCCAUUCUGAGGCAUCUACUGCUACCAUGCUCAUCUUGAUAUGGGCUGGUUGAGCUGGCUAAAUCACUAUGCUCCAAUUCAUAAGUAAAAAAAAACGACAGGAUAAUAAGUUUUCAUGGAAUUCAGGAGUUCAGAUUUCUUUCAAGUCUUAGCAUAUGCAGAUUUUUCCCAUAGUAAGCACUUUGCUGUUCUGAUAGACAUUGGUUACUUCAAAAGAGAGCCUAGAUUUGCACUCCAGAAUGGUUUGCUUUUGUGGUUUCUUCUUUUCCUUCCUGUUCUAUUAUGGUUGAAGAAACAAAAGAAAUGUUAUUCUGUUAAAAGUGGGCUUUGUUCUUGUGGGAUAACAACUUCCUUAAAUUUAUUACUUUUUAAACAGGUU